GUUCAGAUUCAGUUAAAAUCAUGUUGAGAUCAGGUUCAUUCCUCAGCUUUCUGAUUGGCUGCAUCUUGACCAGCUAUCCUCUCAUUGGUUCAGAGAGCCAACAAAAUGUUUCGAAACACAAUAAUUUAGUUUUGAUAUAUUCAGCAGUCCAACAGUGAAAAUGUUUGAUUAUCCGUCUUUUCCUCCAGUCAUUCAGAUCCGUCUCAACCUGAACCGAAUCAAUUCUGACAGACUUUAGGGAUGAUUCACACCGGCCCAGUUCGGUCCACUUUAACCAGUCUGUCUGCCUAGUCAAAGUCCGGCCCAGUUGGUGAAGUGUGAAUGCUAACUGACCUCUGACUUCUGGUCCUCCAAGUCUCGGUCUGGGUUCGGUUGAAGUGAACUCUGGUUCGGUUUGAAUGUGAAAGCCAAGCGGACCAGAGACCGCUCCAAAAGCAGGAAGUGGACUACAGCGCAGGGCAUUCUGGGUAAAUUCACCCAAAGCUAACCUGCUAGCCUAGUGCUAGCAGCAGAAAUGGCUCCUGGUCUUUAGCC